ACCAGUGUGGUGUAGUGUUUUGCGCACUGGACUAUGAUUCUGGAGACUAGGGUUCGAUUCCCCACUUGGCUG